rfam:Salmo salar isolate Sally breed double haploid chromosome ssa04, whole genome shotgun sequence.
AAUGAGUUGCAAUGUAAGUCGCUCUGGAUAUAAGAGCGUCUGCUAAAUGACGUAAA